ensembl:lncRNA
UUCGGAGCUGGGGACCGAACCCAGAGCCUUGCGCUUCCUAGGUAAGCGCUCUACCACUGAGCUAAAUCCCCAGCCCCGUAUACCUGGGUUUUAAGCCUGCACUUUCCACAGCUUCUAGAACUACUGAUGUUGAGGCCUGUCAUUCUACCCCACUGCAUGUCCCAUAGUGAAAACCAAUUUUACUAUAAAAUAAAACACAGGGAAAUGGAAACCUGUCUGUCCCUCAAAACAAAAUCAAAAGUCAUAAAUAUUCCAGUGUGAAAUGUGAACUUAGGAAAGGACAGGCAACCCUUUUCUUAAGGAAUUUCUGUGCCUGAUUUUGAAAUAAUUCUGGAGUGAAUCUCCAACCACCCUGGUCUCUAUACAAGGUCUGACCGUGAGCCCUGUGGAACUCACUAUGUAAACCAUACUGGUCUGCCUUUGCCUCCGGAGUGUUGGGAUCAAAGGUGUGCAUCACCACGCCUGGUGGAAUCUUUUUUGAUGGGUACAAAUAACAAUACAUAAAUAAGUGUAAGCUCCUCAAACUGUCAACCGAGUGUUCCAGUAAUUCCUCCUGUUGCCUUAGAAACAAAACCAAACACAGAACCCUAAGACAUAACCAAACACUACUGAUAGCAACAGAAGUGAACCUAGCCAAACAAAUGAAAGGAAGCCUUUGAUACUUCACGUGUUCAGAGGUCAGCCGUGUGUAGGCUGCUUUUUAGGUAUUCAAUAUAAAUUAGGUAUAAAUAACUUUACAUUUGCCUGUCUACAUAUCUGGUAAUGCUGUUAGAUUGACGAUGCAGAAUCAAGAUGCAUUUCGCCUGUGAGGGCUCAUAGGACUGAUUGGAUUCAGGUGCAGUAUGAAAGAACCUUGGCUUACACACAGAACUGUUGCCAGUGAGUGACCAGGGCCACUAAGUUCAUAUGAAUUUAAGGGGGCUGGGUAUGUUUCCAGUGACCAUAUUGGCAGGAAGAUCACAAGUUCAAGGCUAACCUACGUAGUGAGACUAUCUCAAAAACAAACACAAAUGAAUAGGAGGAAAUGAUUGGCUUUGGUUCUUUGUGGAGUUGGUUACAGCGGACCCAUGGUUCUCCAACUACAGAGGGCUUGCUUGUUAGAACACACACAGCUGGCUUCCCAGACCUCACUAGGUAGGCCUAGGGUAGGCUCACUAAUGUAAACUGGAUUCCCAGGAUUACUGGUUGCGAUGCUCAAAGGACUACAUGUGAAAUUAGGUAACUUUAUUUUCUUAACUCUUUGUAGAUUUUACACACACACACACACACACACACACACACACACACACACACACACCCUCCCUCUGCUACGUCGCAACCCUUACCAUUGCUUGAUUUCUCCAUCAUGACAUUUUAAAAAUUGCCAUAUGGUAAUGAUUAUAACUCUGACAAAUUUCCACGUUUUCUGAAAACCUUGGGUCUAUUCAAACUCAGAUUAGAUAUUCCUGAGUAACCAGAGGAUUCUCAGUAAAGACGCAUUAAAAUAGCCAGGUCUAGUGGCCCAUGUCUUUAAUCUCAGCACUUUGGAAGCAGAAGCAGGUGAGUUUGAGACCAGCCUGGUCUACACAGCAAGGGCUACUUAGAUCAUGGUUUUAAAAAAAUACUUCUGAUGGUAAAUGUCACAAUUCUGAACUUCUGAUUUAACCCCCACAUAUUAAAUACUAACCAGUCACCUUUAAAAAAAAAAAAAAACAAAUCCAUGUGGGUAUUUUUCCUGCACGUUUGUCAGUGUAUGUUUGACAGUUCCUGAGGAAGCCAGAAGAGGGUGUCAGAAGCCAGAGUGUGCCAAGCAACUGGAGUUACAGAUGAUUGUGAGCCACCGUGUGGGUGCUGGAAAUGGGACCUCCAUCCCCUGGAGGAGCAGGCAGUACUCUCAGCCACGGACUCAUCUCCAGUCCAGCAAAUGUCUUUUAAGAUAGAGCGGCAGAGCAGUUGCAAAGCAGUAUUGGGGGCUCACUGAAAAAAAGUGGGCCUAUCACACAGAACUGCUUUCUAGUUGAGAUUAUAUAGCUUUGAGUCUGUACUGGACAGGGAUAACAGUGACACAGAGGCCCCCUGAACACAGUGGACUCAGGGAAGUGGGCAUGUUCGGGAAUGAGAUUCUCAUGGUGUGUGUGUAGGAUACGUAGGAAGUCAGAGCACUGUCAGCCUGUAGGUAACAGGCAGCGGGCGCAGUAGCAGUUCUAUGGCGAGGCCAGCGGUAUCUGGUGACAAGGGGUCGGUCAGGGAUAACAGGGCCUUGUCUUAAAGCAGACAUCACGGUGUACUUGGGGCUCUGUGGGAUGCUCUAAUGUGGAUUCUAAGAGGACGGGAGCUCUGGAGGCCCACUAAAUGCUGAUCAGGUGAGUCUGUCUGAAAUAAGCUGAGGUAAGACUUCAGAGCCUAUUCCAAAGCAAGGGAGUUCAGUGGAAAGUGAUUCCCACUUGAAGUCUGCACAGCCUUCUCUGAGAGAGAAAUCCAAUGGGCUCUGUAGAGAGGAAGGACUGGUGGCAAGGAAGAGAUCUUUUAAGAUUUUAAAACACUUUAAGACUUAUUACCAAGACUAAUUAAGCAAGCACAGUAUUCUCUGUCAGGAAAUAAUGGUCGUGAGCUUUCAUUUUCUGUGACUGUCUCCACGUCCUGUUAUUUAACUCAUGUCAGACUUUCUUCAUAGUUCUGCUCUGCUCAGAGUCCGUGCUUACACUUUUAGAUGGCUUUGAUAAUCAUUAGCAUGUUUAAAUCCGAUUUCUGGAAGGCAGGAUUAUUGCUUCUUCCGGAGUGUGUCUGAUGGAUUUGUGUGGGCCAGAGCGGUCUGCAGCCUCCAGACUGGCUCCUCUGUAUGAAACUUAGUUUUAUCUUGAAAUUUUAUAUUUUGUAACUGUUCUUAGGAAAUACUGAAACUUAGACUCUUAGGGCUGAUUUUCCAUGCACGUGACUGACUUUAGACUUUCAUAAAUAGAGCUCUAGGCUUGAAUCUGUUAUGUCGAAAAGACGUGCUACCGAGAUCUACAGUCGUUUUUGAUUUUUGACAAAAACAUGUCAGUGUUUGACACUGAGCGUUGAGGUGCAGUUAUUUAUUUGAAUCUUUAGAUUUUAUUUUUAUUUUGCGACAGGGUCUCAUGCUGUAGCCAAGGAGUCUUUGAACUCACCUAUGUAGCCCAAGCCACCCUUAAAUUCUACAGCCAUCCCCCUCCUGUCUCGGGCUCCCCAGUGCAGGAAUUAAAAGCACAAACCGCUGUACACGGCUAACUCUUAGUUAAGUUUGUGACAUAGUUUUAAUUUCUGGGAUGGGCGGACUGAGUGUUCUGGGACCCAGAGAGUCAGUAGCCAGGCCUGCUGUAGAUUCUUCUCCUGGUCCCUCCUUGAGUGUUCCUCCCUCCUCCCCAGAGCAGUUUUCAAUGGCCCCCUUGAGGAUUGUUGAACAAUCCUUUCCCAGGGGUCACCUAAGAUCAUAGGACAACACACAUAUUUACAUUAAGAUUCAUGGCAGCAAAACUGAAGUUAAGAAGUAGCAAUAAAAUAAUGGUGGGGGGGUUGGGGAUUUAGCUCAGUGAUAGAGCGCUUGCCUAGGAAGCGCAAGGCCCUGGGUUUGGUCCCCAGCUCCGAAAAAAAGAACCAAAAAUAAAUAAAUAAAUAAAAUAAUGGUGGGGGAUCACCACAACAUGAGGCGGUGUACUAAAGGGUCACAGCAUUGAAAGGCUAAGACAGUUACUGCUUUUUCUUGUCUUUAAUGACAAGGAAUGCUUCUUCUAUACGGGAGCAUCGGACUCAUUUUCUCUCAGUUCCUUUUACUCCAAGCUGUGAGAAUUCUGUCGUAGCCCUGCAUGCAGCCUUUCACACUGGGUGUGGUUGGCCAACGCCUCCGUGUGGAUCUUCAUGAGUCUGUCCCCACACAGUCUUCCUUUCCCUGUCUGUCCUCUUUCCGUGCUCUGGCUGGUCUUAGUUUGAGCAUUGAGAUGUAGCGCUGACUGGCCAUCCCUUUAAUAGUGAUGUGUGGUUGCUUAGGGCUGUGCUGACACUUGCUCCCCUUAGCUUUGGGGCCCUGGAAAAAACCGCCUCUUACUCUCUUCCUUUGUGAGAGUUUGGAUGCACAAAGGGUUUCCUGGCCCCCAGCUUCUGUAUGUACAGUGCUAGAGUUACAGAUCCUCACAGGGGUGUUUCCUGGAGAGAAGGGGAGAGAAUCCAAAAUCCCUUAAAUGAGUUUAGUCAUUGCUGUGGUUCGAACACUUGAUCAUAUUGGCCAUGCCUUAUUCACAUUCUGAAUUUAGCUCUCUGAAUUUUGUAGUUUUCCUAUAAUUUCAUACUAUUUAAUGCAGGCUCUGUGACAAAAGAAUUGUUAUGGCUCCAUCAUUUUUCCCACCUCUUCCUUGAAAUUGCAUCCAUUUGGCCCUCCCCCUUUCCCUCCCACUGGGGUUUGAGUGGGUCCCAAGGGCACCCUCUACACAGUGGGCCAUUUGCAGUGUCCUGGCAGAUGAAGUUGAAUCCUGUAGCCAGGAAAGGUCACCUAUCAGGAUUUGGAAGAUUUCUGCUACUCUGUGGCUCCCAAGAGGAGUGGCUUCUAAAGACAGCCUUUCCUGUGUAUUUGAACCAAUGAGGGAGUUUCUGGGGUCAGCUCAGCGUUUCUGUUAACCUCUUUUGCACUCAGGUUGUGCAUAACUUGUGCGUGACCUUGAGCGCUUGUGUCCUGUUUUCAGGGAACUCUUGCCAGUGAGGAGUCUGUCUGUUCACAACUACACCAGGCUGCUUAUCCAUCUGUGGUCAAGGCCGUUGGCACUUGUUUGGUGCUUGCUGGUUGUGCAUGGUGGCUCACACUUAGUGCACAUACCAUCCAUGUUAAAAGCCUGCGAUGAUUCCCAGUGAGCAUAGUUAAGGCUGAUUAAUCAAUCAGCUAACCACCUUGGUCUCAGAGUUGUUUAUGUUCCUUUAGCUUUGCCUUUUCUUUUUAUUUAUUUCUUUCUUUCUUUUCUUUUUUUUAGCUUCAGAAUUUUAUGGUCUGUCAGAGAGCAUCAUGGUGGUCAUGGUGGCACCACAUUUUUUAAAAAGCACUUACUGCAUGAAAAUGCUUAUGUUUUGAUAGGAAGAAGUGAAACAUUUUUAAAGGUCAUUCAGGACUCUUUUGUGGAUUUCAUCUUUGAAAUUUAUACCGUAUGCCUUUGCUUUGUGAGACAUAACCGUGCCUGUCCUUUUAAGUAUGCCCAAAUCCCUCCUUGUCCCUACUUUUAGGGAGUUCCAAGUUGGGAUUCUUCCUGCUGCCAAUUUAGUUCUGGAAGAGGACCCAAGGGCUCUGCUCAUAGCCACCCAUCUUUGUGACUAUCUAAUGAGCCAUGUGCAACAAGGACUUCUUUGGCUUAAUGAACCAGUGUCCUAGUUAGUCAUUUCAUAUUAUCUGCAUAAUACUUCCAAGACCAGAACUUUUGAAAAUACAAGAUCAGGGCUGGGGGUACUGCUGGGUGGGAGAGCUUUGCAUAAGUGUGGGCCUUGGGUUCAGUCCAGCGCUACAAAAGCCAAAAAGAUCAUUUGGGAUUCUAAUCAGCAAACUUGGUUUCCAUUGUCUUUAAUGGUCUUCCUGAUAACAGAUGUGGAAUGUAUUAGUUCCUCUGUUGGGGGCAAGGUGGUGACAUGAGGCACAGCCUCUGUCCAAGUGACCCUGGGUCGUUAACCCAGAAAGCUGUCCUUCGUUCUUGAGGAAAGCCACAGCAACAUCCCAAGAGUCGACUAGAAAUGCCUGCUGUGUUUUGUUGGUAUUGGAGGAAUCACUUGAUCUGAGAACAGACCUGCGAUCGAUCGCAAAAGUUUAUGUAACACUUGCUAACAACAUACGGUGGCACUCUGAAGUAAGAGCUCUUCAUUUCAGGCAAGGUUCCUCACUCAUGGACAUUGCAGGCCACCAAUGCCCCCUCAGAUGUCUGAGGUUGUGGACGUGAGUGACUGUUCAUCAGUAGAGUCCUCCUAGUCUUCAGUAUGGAGGGCUUAACUAAAAGUAAACACAACUCUGGUUGGUUACACUUUCUGUUCCAAAAGGAAACAGGCGAAGGCUUUGGCUGUGUCUGGAGUGUGCCUUGGGAGACUUGUGGGAUGCUGGUAGGCUGUGGCUCUGGCCUUCUCAAUUUUGCCCCUCCCCCAUUCUUUCUGUCUCUUUUCUACUUUCAGUUUUCCAAGUUUUCUUUUUGGUGUGGGUUCUAUUCUGUCUCUCUGCCUUUCCUGUGUGCUCUUUCCAGGACUGCAGACAUAAUAGCUCAGUUGGAAGAGUGUUUGCCUCCCACUCACGAGGCCCUGGGUUCAGUUCCCCACAAAACAAAUUUCCCAGAAACAUUCUGGAAGUUCCCACAUCAUCCCCUGACCCCACCCCAACUGAUGACCAUCUAAAGCUGAAGACAACUUUGACUCUAAUGUUAGGAUCGUUUUAGUCUAUAAACACUGAUGGAUAGUAAUGAACAGGAAGUAUUUCUGAAAUUUUAAUUGGUUGAUAAUAGGUUACUUCCUGGUUGGAUGGAAAGUAGGUGUGAAAUAUGCCCUUUGCUCUUCAGGAGGCGUUCAGACAGGAUUCAGAGGCGUGCUUGAAGACUUGCUAGAAUUUAAGCUGUCUUUUAAGUAACAGAUUUCAGGACUGUUUAACAAAUUUGUUGAACAAAAAUACUGUUUGGGUUCAAGCGGUGUUAUUAAAUUGCUUAAAUCAUGUUUGGUAUGAAGAGCAUAACAGUCAAAUUGUGUAGAACACCACUGUUGGAUGAGCACACAGUCUAGCUGUUAUGACCUCCAGAGUUAAUGAGAUGCAGUCCUGUUAGUCCUGCGUCAUAGAGUUGGCCUAAAAUGACAUAGCUGGCUAGUAGCAUAAUUGACAACAGGCAAACAAUAUUCCUGUAUCAAAAACUCAGGUGACUUGGAAGGAAAAUCGGCUAAGCAGCCUGAGCUUUGACUUAGAUACCGCCUAGUUACCAGGUGGGGAUUGGUCUUUGGAGCGGAAUUACUGAGGAGGGUCCCUCCCAGGUCUGGGAUAUAGUUUGUUGUACUUUGUUCUUUGCUGCAGUUGAACCGGGGCCUCCUCAGGCCCCCAGGCCAAUGCUUGGCAUCUCAGCUAACUGGGGUGGAUACUCAUUCAAGGCCAGAUCUUCCAAAUUUCAAAUCUGGUAGAAGGAGCCCUCCAGUAGUAACACUCAAGGCCAGUUUUUAAGGGGUGGGCGCACUUUUCAGUUCUUAUUCUUUAAGAGUUUGAGAGACCAGCGUUACAUAAAUUUAUGGGAAUUUUGCUGUUUGCACCUGAGAGUUGCUUUGUUUGGGGUUGGAGAAUAGGUUUUGUGGCUCCUGGGAGGAGGACCUGCAGUUGGGCCGAGGGAAGCCCGACAGUCUGGAACAAUCUGUAAGGGGUGAGGGAAGAGGAGCUUUCGCGAAAGUAUCAGAGAAAAGCUGAGGGGAUUGGAGCUCAUGACGGUUGGUGUCUAGGCCUUUCUCCAUUCUUAGCAAGUCUUGCUUGGCAGUAUGAAGGACACUGUUCUCUUGCCAGAAGGAAAUGAGAAAGAGGCAUGGAGGCAAAUGGAGGGAAGCCCUUUGAGGUUUUUCUUUCUGAAGGAAGUGAUAGCCACCCAGGCUGCUGGUAGCAGUGCCACACAGCAGGCGUGGGGCACAUAGGCAGCCAUGAUUUAUGUCUCACAGUUCUGGAAGCCCAAGAUCAAGAGACUGUCAGAUUCUUGUCAGAUGAAGACCAGCUUCCUGGCUCAUAGUGAUACCUUCUAGCCAUAGCCUCAGUUUGUCAGGGAGGAAGCAGCUCUGUGUGGCUUGUGAUUUGUUGAGCUAGGCCUUGCCAUGUGAUAGCUCAGGUUGGCCUCCAAUUCCCGGCAGUCUUCUGUCUCAGCCCGGAUCUCUUCUCUGUGUUUUAAAAGCUCACUAAUUCCAUCCAUGAGUGCCCCACCCUCCUCGCCUCCUAAGAUUAUUUCUAAAGCUCUCGCCUCCCAGUUCUGACUAAGGAGUAGUAGUAUUUCAAUAAAUGAAUUGGUGUAGGGUGGGUGGCAAAGUAUUCAGUCUGUAGGGAAAAUUCUCUUUGUGUCCCUUAAUUUAUUUUGGUUGAAUCUAACAACAAAAAAUAAAGGUCUAAAGUCAGACAGUAACUUUAAAAAAAAACUAUGGGAAAAUGAAUAUGUAAAAGUAAAUAUUCACUUAGCAGUAAUAUUUACACUUAGGGAUUUUUUGGGUUUUUUUUUUGUUUGUUUGUUUGUUUUUUUAAGAGUCUUAUAUGUAGCCCAGGUUGGGAUCUUAAUCCUCCUGCCUCAGUUUUUUGACUGUUAUGAUUACAGUCAUGUGCCCUACUACAUUGUGUUUCUAUUAUCAAUGCUAUUAAUUAUUUCCAUGUGAUGGCAACAUGAUUAUCUUGAAUGAUAGAUUUUUUUUAAGUUGCAUGUCUAUGGAAUCAACCAAGCAGUAGAAAUAGUUGGAGAAAAAAAUCUUGGCAUUUGUACUGAUCUAUACUGAACAUGUCGGCAUUCCCUGAACAGUGCAGAGGACUGUUUAUAUGCCGUGUGCAUUGCACUGUGUUGUAAGUCUGAAGGUAUUUAAGGUGUGUCAGGAGAUGUGCAGAGAAUACAUGCAAAUGCUAGGCCACAUGGUUAGUAGACUUGAGCAUCUGCAGAUUUUGUUGCGGGUUGGGUCUUGAAUCCAAUCCCACAUGGAUACCAAGGGCAAUCAUAAUUAUAGGAUGAACACCUGAUGUCCAGUCUCCAAGAUAACUUUAUUAACACUCUCCUUUAUUAACAUUUUAUUUUUCAUUUAAUGUACUAGUGCUUUGCUGCAUAUACAUCUGGAGUCCAGAGGAGGGCAUCAGAUCACCUUAUAGAUAGAUGGUUGUGAGCCACCAUGUGAUUGCUGGGAAUUGAACUCAGGACCUCUGGAAGAGUAGCCAGUGCUUUUGACCGCUGAGCCACCUCUCCAGCCCCCCUUUAUUAACACUUUGAGCAUGUUGAGUAAAAGGAACUAACAUCAGAAUUUAUUUAGCCAGAAUUUUGUGUUUUCAUGUUAAAACAAAGUUAAUGAUUCUUAAAUGCCUCUACUCUUGAAGGCGGCCAGUGUUACUGUUUAGUCACUCCUAGUGCUCAGUCUGCACUGUACUUACAAAGACAGGAGGAGAGGGACUUUGUGGUGGUCUGUGGUGGACCCCUCUUCUAGCCAUGAUGGAAAAUUGAGAGGCUGGACUUUUUUGGGUCUUGUGUAAGCGGCCACAGCUUCAGCGAGUCAGUGAGCACAGUGCCCAUGUCAGAUCCAGAAGGCCUUUUUACUGCACAUCCUCCUAUUCUGGCUCUCACUAAAACCCCAAAACAUACAAUUAAGUUGGGAAAUAACAGCAGAUGUGGCUAUCUACCAGGGAGGGAGGGAAGGAGGAAGGGUGGGUGUGUACUUUAAAAAUAAUUUCAUGCAGUGAAUUUUGAUCAUAUCCAUCCUCAGUUCUUAACCUUGACUUCUUCCAGAUCCAUUCUCACUUCCCUACUCACUUCUCACUUUUCAUGUCCUUUUAUUUGGGGUUAAUUCAAUAACCCUUUGACAUUCUGGCUAUGGAGCCAUCUGGAUUGCAGUUGACCUGUGAAAAGAUACUCCCUUUAAGGAAACUGAUUCUCCCUUCCCCAGAAGCUUUCAACUGUACAUAGCUUCUUAAAGCUGCUAUAAGUAGACUAAUCUAUAAGCAGAUAAGUCAUAGGGCAGUUUUAUACCCUGCCCAUAUAGCAAAGUAAUUAUAGUAGGCUAACCCCCAGGGCCUGCGAGCUCUCCAGUCUUGGCCUCUUGGCUAGAUUUAUAGUUAACCAGGUAUAUAUCGACUUCUUUGGAAUGGACUUUCAAUGUAAUCAGAAAGCAGUUAGUCACUUCCCUAACAUCUGUUGCAUUCAUAGACAUGUCUUGAAGUGUCAGUUGUUACUAUAGUUCAUAGGAUUCAUAGCUAGGUAAGACUGUUGAUGGCUUUACCCCCUGGCAGUCUGCAUAGGACCCUGUUACUGUGUUUGAGGUAGGGUGCUUCCUGGUCAGUACCCACUUUGGUUUCUCCAUAUCCUAUAACCAGUAUAUGUGGUACCUUCAGCAAUGGUCUUCAGCAGUGAGGCCUUACUGUGUAGUUUUGUUAGGCAACCGAGAGCAACAAUAAUAAUAGUCUGUACUGUUUUGGGGAUUUCCAGAAAUCUCCAACCACAAGUUUGAGGGGCGGUGUCCCACACUUGAGCACUGGGCUUUUUGUUUGGCAUCCUGUGUCUCUGAGGUAAACAUGAUCCCCAGAGUAGAGUAACUCUCAUUAAAGUCAUUGUUUUCAUAUGCUUUUGGAGACAUCCUUUGGGUUAGACACCUCUCCUGCAAACCCCUCCCUCUGCUUUACCCUCCUAUCCCAGUGUGCUUGCUGCCAUGGCCAUGUUUGAAGAAUACUGGCCACCCACUGUGGAGAAGUUCCUUCCAUUUGGUUUGUCUGAUGUUUCCUCUUGUGAGGUUGAGGUUUUGUGCUUUUGUAGACGUGUCACCCUAGGGACGUCAUACCCUCACUGUAUCACACUGGAGGCAUGUGGUGUCACCCCUGAUAAGGUUGAACUUGAUACAAAGGUUGAGGCCAGCUUUUCUCUCUCUGUGCCUGUCUUGUCUGUCAGUUUUUCCUCCACUUUUCAAAUAAAAGAGCAAGUUCAUGGAAUAAUCUUUCUUAGAUUUUAUUACCACCUUAUUUAUAAGUAAAAUUUAAAAUGUUUUGGUUUUGGCUGUACUGUUUUUUUUUUUUUCGUUUCAAUUGAUGGGUCUCUUUUUUGUUUGUUUGCUUUUGAGACAAGGUCUCAGUCUAGCCCUGGCCGGACUGGGACUCGCUAUGAUUCUCCUCAGCUUCUGGCAGUCCUCCUGCCUCAGUCUUCCAAGUACUGGGAUGACCUCUGUGAGCCACCAUACUAGCUUCUCAAGGUUUGAAAAAUAAUCUGUAGUCAAACUUACUGAUGGAGUCCUAGUUCGCCUGUCCCACCAGCAAUGUCAGAGGACAUGCCAGUAGGACCUAUCCCCACAGCAGCGUCAGAGGACACGCCAGGUCCCCUCCAGGACUUGGCACAGCUUAUUCUUGUGUGUGAUCUGAGGUACAGAGCUAAAUCUCUCUCUCUCUCCAAAUGGCUCUCCAGUGUCUUUAACACCGUUUCUUAAAGUCAGUCUUUGUCCAGUGCUUUUUCACAUCUCCUUUAGUUUGCACAAUGCGGCUUGUCUCCUUGAGCCCGCUCUUUACUUUGGUCUGUCUGUCUGUCUGAUCUGUCUAAAUAGCACUCUCCAUGAUGUAGGCUCAUGUUAGAAUAGAUUACCUGGCAGAACCAUCGUCCUCCUCUCUAAAGCCUCAGAGUUUCCCUGGCUCUUCUGCUCAUUUAUUUUUUCAGUAUGAAAUUCCCUUAUCUCAUCCACUUAAAAACUGGGUAUAUCUGUGAAACUUACAUUGAUUUUUUUCACUUACGGUGAACUGACAUUUUAAUGAUGUUAGUUUGUUCUAUAUCAGAAAAUAUAAGGGAUUUUAUUUGGUUGAGUUUUCAUUUGUGCCUCUUUUGGGAUGUUUUAAAGUUUUCCUAUGAUGGGUUUUACACACUUCUUAUUAUGAAAAUUGCAUUUUUUCCACUUAAUAUUCCGUGGAGCAGGUCAGUACAUGUUGACCUAUUUUAUUUUGUAAAAUGGAUCCAGAGUAGUCUGCCAUGACCUAAUUUCAUUUAACUUUGCCUCUGUUGAUAUAUGCUUGUUACUUUUAAUUUUUCCCUCGUUUAAGCAGCUAGAAUUGGAAUUGCUUAUUCAUAAACCAUCUGGGUUUUGGAGGUAAUAAAUGCUGCCAAGUAAUCUUCUCAAACCAUUUGACAGAGUCAUGCAAACUUUAUUGCAUAUGUGCAUUGUUACUAGAUCUCCAAACUUCUUUAAAGGAAAAAAGCCAUGAAAGAUACUUCUGCUCUAAAAGUCCUGUGUAUUCAUGAGCAUGGGCAGAAGUGGCUGGGGCUGUAACUUAGUAACUCAGUGCUUGCCUGUUGUGACCCUGGGAUCAUACAGGAGUACUACAAAUAAAAAAGUAGCAGAAGUCACAAUGUUGGCCUUGAAUAACUACAACACAGUCUUGGAAACGACAUUUACAUACAUUAGAAAGUAUGUAAAGUUCCCAUGAAUGUAGACCUUGAAUUGAGUCCCAAAGAGAGUCACUGGGUCUAGGGAUACACACCUUCAAUCCUAGCCCUCGGGGGACAGGAACAGGUGGACCUCAGUGAAUUUGAAGUCAACUUGGUCAGAACAGCAAAUUCUAGGUCAGCCAAGGGCUACAUGGUGAGAUCUUGUUUGUUUUGCUAUCCUCCACCUCCCAAAAGAAAGUGCUGGAAGUGGUUUGGUGUGCUAAUGGCAUAGGUUACAUUGACCUUGCUUUGCCAGUGACAGUGAUGGCCUAGACUAAAAUGGUAUCUGUAUGCAAAACUAAGGAAAGGACAGCAGGUGAUGGAUGGCUUUGAGGAGAGUCUUGAAGAAACACUUCAGGUUUGAUCUCCUGGCAAGGUAACAAAUCACCCUCAAAUCCACAGAUUAGAGUCCACAUCAAAUGCUGGUUUUCUCUAAUUGUGUGCUGGGGUUGGGGUUCAGGAUCAAGGUCUCUUCUUGUACUGAAGUAGAAAUAGUAGGUUCCAGUCCUCUUCUGUGGUGGUGCAUUUCCUGGUGCUGGUGGCCCCUGGAGACCUCAGUUUUCCCUGUGAGUCUCCACAGAAUAGAGUGCCCAUAAGCCCUGGCGGCUUCAUCUCCAGAUCAAGUGAUCUAGGGGACCAAGGUGGUGCCUCAGUGCCUUUUGACUUUCCCUUUGGAAGCCAUUCACUGUCUCUCUGUCUCCACAUUCUAUUCUCUAGAAACAAGCUGUAAGGUCAGCCCACAUUCAAGAGCAGGGGAGCUAAGUUUCAUGUGUUCAAGGGGAAUGUCGAAGAAUCUGGGAACAGAUUGUGAAACCUACACACUGUCCUGUCUGUUCUGAAGAGGAGGGAUGCUAACAUUUUCAAAAGGGAAAAAUGUGCUUCUCUCCCGCCCACCCCUCUGUGGUAUCUACUGAAGAUGAAGCCGGCUGUAGUGUUGAAUAUAGAUUGAAGUGAGAUCUACCCCAUGCAGUCACUGAGCCAUCUAGUGAGGACAGAUUCAAUCGAGGGCUCUGUGAGGGGGGAAGUAGAGCAGGUGGAAGGGUGGAGGCAGCAGAAGGGUGAGCAAACGAUAAGGAAGAGAGACCAGGCUUGUCAGAACUAGGAAGAAAAGCAAGAAAAGCAAGCUCUGAGGGAAAAGGAAGCUGGUUGGGUUCUAGGCACUCGGUGGGCAAGUCCUAAGGAGUCCGAAAUGCACAGCCGGGACCCAGUUGAGACUUCUCACCAAAGAGGCCCAGCAGUGAUAGUUAACACUGUCAAGGACUGAAAACAGGGGAAACAGAGCCCAACAGGCCAGGGUCUGGGCCUGUGCUGUGAUUUAGAGAAGUGAGCCAGGUCUGCAGCAUGCUGGCGAAGGGAGAACGAGCUAUGUUCCUGGCAGGAAGGAGAGAGAGACUCUGGAAUGAUUCAGAGCCCUCAGGUGUUGGGGUUUGAAAUGAAUGUGUUUGCCUGUAAGACUGCGAGGGAGACAGCAGUUUUUAAGUGGAAUAAAACAGUUUUGGAAAAUGGAUUAUAACAUCUACAUUGGUGGCUCUUUUGCUCACGAUUGGGAGGAAGAGUGACUGGCAUUCCAGAAAUUCCUUUCUUUGGCAUUGACAUACUCUGUCUUCUUGAUUCCUUUUAGAACCACCAUUGCAUCCCAGGGAUGGUGCCCUCUACAGGAGGAGUUUUGCCUCACUUUGGGAAUCUCUUAACUGUAAGUGAAAUCUGUUUACCUUCUUACCUCUUUUCCCCUUCCACAUUCUGCGCUGGCUUGAAAUGUUCAUUAUGUGUGUCCGUGAACAACUAGGCACAGCACAGCACACACACGGGGUCAGGGCGACUGUGACAGUUGGUUCUCUCCUAAGUAAUCAGAUGUUUCCCAGGUUUUGAGGCAGACACCUUCACCCCUUAGGCUUCUCACCAGCCCCAGCUCCUCUCACCCCUCCCUGAUGGUCUUGCUUUUUAAUGCCUGUAUAAGAGAUUGGGCCAUUCUCAUUUUUAUCUCCUACAUUAAGCCUGGUUCUCUUACUGCUCUUGCUAACUAAACUUGGAGUUUAUCCAUAACAAACACGAUUAAAAUGGUAAUUGAGAUCAUACUUGAUGAUCUUCCAGGCCUGUAUAUCUAUAUGAUACAUACUCAGUUUUCACAUUAGGAAAAUAGUUUGUAACUCUCCCAAUGGAACAUGGCAUCUUCUAAGAUUUCAAUAGAGUUAAGGUUAAACGAAAAAAGGAGCUUUAUAAACUUUUAUAGAUGAUGCAUCCAGGUACUCUAAAUUGUGUGUGUGUUUCCUUCACCAUGUGAUGCAGCAAUUAUUUUCCAGUUUUUCUUUAAAGAAAACUACUUAGGUCUACUAAAUACUUACAGAAACUAAACCAAAGUGUCAACAAUUACUUAGAACCAAAUUAAAGACUUUAUGUUGUUGCUGUUGCUUUGAGAUAAGGAUAUUACACAGCCCAAGCUUCCUGGACUCACUGUGUAGCCGAGGCUAGCCUUGUUGAACUUCAUCCUCCUGCAUCCUCCUGCUUUGAUUUCCCCAGUGCUAGCUUUACAGAUGUACAGCACUGCUCACACAGAGCAAUCUUUAUAGCUUAUGCUUCGAUAAAGGAACUAUUGUUGAUAAGUUCCUUUUAGAACAAAAAAAAGUUUGAUUGUGGUCAGUAUCAUCUUUAAGACACUGGCAGCCCCACCUGAAAUAGUCCAGCUCUGCAGAAGGUGUUGGGCGUGAGCACGGGAAGAGAUCAAAAGGGCCAGGGUGUGAGAAGAGACACCAGAGAUCUCAGACGUACUGUUUGUAACCCACAUGGUACAGACAGAAGGUAUAUGGAAAGGGUUGCAGACUGCAAACCUGCAAUGACUCCAAACUAUGGUGGUUUCUAGUUUUCCUUACAUAGAAAAGAAGGGGGUGAGAGUGUGUCUUACAGAUCACUACAUUCUCAUUCUUGUGCUAAAGAGCUAGAGAGGUGCACAAAUGUGACAUCCUCUUUCACCAUUGGCAGUCAUCAGAACGUCUAGUUCCAGUGUUUGGUUCCCCUCCCUAUUUCUGGUUCUUACUCGCCCUGUUCUCUUUUUUUUUCCUAUACAUUCUCUUGUGGACAUGAACAGAUCUAGAAAUUUCUUAGGUCACUUACUCCAUUCCCAGUUUGCCACACACUCAGGAAAUAAUGUCAUCCUUCAAGCUCCUCUGAUUCCAGAAUGUUCUGCAAACUUCUCUAUCCCUGGGCUUCUAGGACAUAUGUUACUAACAUUUCAUUUGCAAGUUUGUUAUCAAAACUGGUAGUUCCUUUGAAGAAAGGAGCAAGUCAGACUCACUUGAGCACUCCUCCAUUUGUGUGUGUGUGUAUGUGUGUGUGUGUGUGUGUGUGUGUGUGUGUGUGUGUGUGUGUGUCCCAAGUGCAUGCAUGCCCUUCCCUCCUACUUACGUCAGAGCAGCAGUGACACUGAGGGCUGCUCAUCUGUGGCCAGAGAGGUGGACUGUGCAUGAUGGGAGGUGUCUUUGGUCUGACAGAGGUGCUUCUGAAGUGUGCUGUGGAUGUGUCAGGGAUGGGUUGGGAACCAGACACCAGAAGCAGUGCAGCGUAAUGUGGUGAACACUGUAUCUCAAGCCCAGGCUGGUCAGGGACACUGCAGUUCACUUGCCCGUGGUCUGGGUGGCCUGAGGACCGUCUGCAGUCCUUCAUCGAGGUCGCUGCUCCUCACCUUGGGGAGAACAGGGAAGUGUUCCCAUGUGGCACACUGUAGGGGCGGAGACUUACAGGGCUUGAGACUGGUGGUGGUGCUGGGAAAGUGGUGGGAGAUGGGGUUGAAGAGGGCCCUGCCUGGACUGCUGAUGUCCUGUUGUCUGUGGAGAACUGUUGAAAGUUUUAAAUGUAAAGGGAUGGUAUAGCUUGGCUUGAGGACUUGAAAAGAUAGUGACUGCUUGGAACAGCCAUGGCAGGAAUUUAGAAGGAAGAAGGACAGGAGAGAGAAUGGAUUACUUUGCAGUGACCACAGCAUGGCGUAGGUUGAGGGCAGGGCAUUGAAGGGGCCCGAGUUAGGAGCCUCUUGCCUGGGAGCUGGAAUGACAUCACAGUUGUUUUCUUAAAUCAUUGCUUUUCAAGACAAUAGAAGAUUCUUAUAAACAUCUGACUUUUUUAUUCACCGGGCAUUAAAAUACAGUGUUUUCUAUCUUUAAAUGCACAGGUGGUCUCUGUUACAUCACCACAUCCAUCUCCUGUGGUGACUGUGUGCAACUAAGCAACUCCCCCUUAGACUCAGUCAGAUAAUGUCUGCCCUUUUGUGAUAGGCUAAUUCCACUUUACAGUAGGCCAAAACCGGAUCCCCUGGAUGGUCUUCAAGGUUCACCUGUGUUGUAGCAGGUGUCAGAAAUCACCUUGGUGGGCUUUGGAACAGAUAAUUGUUAACACUGCCUGCAUUAGCCUAGAAUUCACUGUCCUCCUGCCUCCAGCCUGCACCUGCAGGGGUCUCACAGUCUUAAGUUUAAGGCUUUCCUGUUGUCCAACAAACGUAUCUAGCUCCUCAUGGCACUAAACAGUAGACAUCACGCGCAUGUGCUUACGCAUGCACGCACACACACACAUACACAUUUAAGGUUCUUUACUAACCAAAUAGUAUUCAAGUAAUCUAUGUUUCAAGCCAAAAGUAUAAUCUGAGAAUUGCAGUGUUGGAAGGCUACUUUUUGGAAAGAAAGAAAAAAAAAACCUCCCCUUUUUUUCUAGAUUCCUAUAUAUUGUGUCAGUGAAUAUCGUUUCUCUUUGAAGAUCUAAGAGAGAUGACCAUGGAAGUCGAGGCUGCUGUGUGGUCUAGAUUGUAAACUCUCAACGAUUUCUCCAGCACCAUGGUAACCAUGCCUGCCACCAUGCUUCCUGACAUGAUGAAAAUGGACUAAACCCCUGAAAUUGUAAGCAAGUCCCCAGUUAAAUGAUUGCUUUCACGAGAGUUGCUUUGGUCAUGGUAUCUCUUCAUACCAAUGGAGCAGUGACUGACACUAGGGUACAUUUAUUUUCAAAAUUAAAAGCAUCCUAGCCUGCCAUGUAUUUCUCAUACAGACGUUAAUUUCCUACUACCAUAGUGCUAAAACAUGAGUAAAACAUGAGUAAAACAUGAGUGGGGUGUGUGUGU